AGACGGAGGGGGCUAGCGUUGUUCGGAAUUACUGGGCGUAAAGCGCGCGUAGGCGGAUUGAUCAGUCAGAGGUGAAAUACCAGGGCUCAACCCUGGAACUGCCUUUGAUACUGUCAGUCUUGAGUUCGAGAGAGGUGAGUGGAAUUCCGAGUGUAGAGGUGAAAUUCGUAGAUAUUCGGAGGAACACCAGUGGCGAAGGCGGCUCACUGGCUCGAUACUGACGCUGAGGUGCGAAAGCGUGGGGAGCAAACAGGAUUAGAAACCCCGGUAGUCC
rnacentral:rRNA from 1 species